GACGAACGCUGGCGGCGUGCCUAAUACAUGCAAGUUGAGCGCUGAAGGUUGGUACUUGUACCAACUGGAUGAGCAGCGAACGGGUGAGUAACGCGUGGGGAAUCUGCCUUUGAGCGGGGGACAACAUUUGGAAACGAAUGCUAAUACCGCAUAAAAACUUUAAACACAAGUUUUAAGUUUGAAAGAUGCAAUUGCAUCACUCAAAGAUGAUCCCGCGUUGUAUUAGCUAGUUGGUGAGGUAAAGGCUCACCAAGGCGAUGAUACAUAGCCGACCUGAGAGGGUGGUCGGGCACAUUGGGACUGAGGCACGGCCCAAACUCCUACGGGAGGCAGCAGUAGGGAAUCUUCGGCAAUGGGGGAAAGUCUGACCGAGCAACGCCGCGGGAGUGAAGGAGGUUUUCGGGUCGUAAAACUCUGUUGGUAGAGAAGAACGUUGGUGAGAGUGGAAAGCUCAUCAAGUGACGGUAACUACCCAGAAAGGGACGGCUAACUACGUG
rnacentral:rRNA from 1 species